UACCAGCACCCCGAGUGGUCGGGACGAUUAUUGGGCCUAAAGCAUCCGUAGCCGGUCAUGCAAGUCCUCCGUUAAAUCCACCUGCUUAACAGACGGGCUGCGGAGGAUACUACAAGGCUAGGAGGCGGAAGAGGCAAGCGGUACUCAGUGGGUAGGGGUAAAAUCCUCUGAUCCAUUGAAGACCACCAGUGGCGAAGGCGGCUUGCCAAUACGCGCUCGACGGUGAGGGAUGAAAGCUGGGGGAGCAAACCGA
rnacentral:rRNA from 1 species